rnacentral:rRNA from 1 species
GAUUAUCCUACUAGGAUAACUGUGGCAAUUCUAGAGCUAAUACACGCAAUAAAGCUCGGACCUUACGGGACGAGCGCAUUUAUUAGACCAAAACCAAUCGGGCUUCGGCUUGAACGGUGGUGACUCUGAAUAACUAAGCUGAUCGCAUGGUCUUUGUACCGGCGACGCAUCUUUCAAGUGUCUGCCUUAUCAACUUUCGAUGGUAGUUUAUGUGCCUACCAUGGUUGUUACGGGUAACGGAGAAUAAGGGUUCGACUCCGGAGAGGGAGCCUGAGAAACGGCUACCACAUCCAAGGAAGGCAGCAGGCGCGCAAAUUACCCACUCUCGGCACGAGGAGGUAGUGACGAAAAAUAACGACCCUCUAAGGGGAGAGGCCCGCCAUCGGAAU